AGGGAAGAAAAAAAGAAGCUGGGAAAACCUGUUUGGUUUUAGGACCUGACUGAAGUAGGAUGCCAGCGUAUAUAGGUUUAGUUGGUAACAAGUAAAUUGGCUGAGUCAUAAAAGAAUUAUCAAAGGUUGGAGUGAUAGAGUUUGGCUGGAUGCAGCCAGAAAGAAAGAAAAAGAGAAGGAAAGAAAGAAAAAAGCAGUGAAGGCCAUAAUGAGGAAGGAGCAAGAAGGGAACCAACAUGGCAAAUCCCUUCAGUUUCCCUGCAGUACAGUAGCUGGAAAUAGUGAGGUGGGGAGCACUCAAGUAAAGGUCAGUCCUGCUAAGCCAAGCAAAAGGCCUCUGGUACCCUAUCACCAUGCUAAUAAAGGAGCAGCAUGUCUUAGUCAGUUGAAGGUUAAAUGGGACCGGGCAGAGAUAUAAAUAAAAUGAAAAACAAGAAUACAGAAAGGAGAUCGCUUCUGAAAAUCAGCUUGUGGCAAGUAAAUAAAGAAUGGCCUCCAGUGAAGACUGUAAGA